AAAGAAGGCCAUUCGGUCGCCGGUGCGAAAGCACGGGAGGAAAGUCCGGACACCGCAGGGCAGGGUGACUGAUAACAUCAGCCUGGUGCGAACCAGGGAAAGUGCCACAGAAAACAGACCGCCCGAAAGGGUAAGGGUGAAACGGUGGUGUAAGAGACCCCCGCUGACGCUGGCAACAGCGCAGGCAUGGCAAACCCCAUCCGGUGCAAUGCCAAAUAGGCAGGUUUACUAAAGCGGCCCGCUUUUUAUAACCUGCGGGUAGGCAGCUCGAGCUGCGGAGCAAUCCGCCGCCUAGAUAAAUGACCGAUUAAAACAGAAUCCGGCUUAACGGCCUUCUUUCUUU
rnacentral:RNase_P_RNA from 1 species